AGAACGAACGCUGGCGGCAUGCCUAAUACAUGCAAGUCGAACGAACACUUCGGUGUUAGUGGCGCACGGGUGCGUAACGCGUGGGAAUCUGCCCUUGGGUUCGGAAUAACAGUUGGAAACGACUGCUAAUACCGGAUGAUAUCGAAAGAUCAAAGAUUUAUCGCCCAGGGAUGAGCCCGCGUAGGAUUAGCUAGUUGGUGAGGUAAAGGCUCACCAAGGCGACGAUCCUUAGCUGGUCUGAGAGGAUGAUCAGCCACACUGGGACUGAGACACGGCCCAGACUCCUACGGGAGGCAGCAGUAGGGAAUAUUGGACAAUGGGCGCAAGCCUGAUCCAGCAAUGCCGCGUGAGUGAUGAAGGCCUUAGGGUUGUAAAGCUCUUUUUACCCGAGAUGAUAAUGACAGUAUCGGGAGAAUAAGCCCCGCUAACUCCGUGCCAGCAGCCG
rnacentral:rRNA from 1 species